GACGAACGCUGGCGGCGUGCUUAACACAUGCAAGUCGAACGGAAAGGCCCUGCUUUUGUGGGGUGCUCGAGUGGCGAACGGGCGAGUAACACGUGAGUAACCUGCCCUUGACUUUGGGAUAACUUCAGGAAACCGGGGCUAAUACCGGAUAGGAGCUCCUGCUGCAUGGUGGGGGUUGGAAAGUUUCGGCGGUUGGGGAUGGACUCGCGGCUUAUCAGCUUGUUGGUGGGGUAGUGGCUUACCAAGGCUUUGACGGGUAGCCGGCCUGAGAGGGUGACCGGCCACAUUGGGACUGAGAUACGGCCCAGACUCCUACGGGAGGCAGCAGUGGGGAAUAUUGCACAAUGGGCGGAAGCCUGAUGCAGCAACGCCGCGUGCGGGAUGACGGCCUUCGGGUUGUAAACCGCUUUCGCCUGUGACGAAGCGUGAGUGACGGUAAUGGGUAAAGAAGCACCGGCUAACUACGUG
rnacentral:rRNA from 1 species